rnacentral:rRNA from 1 species
ACGGAGCGAAGGACUCUGGGUCACCUCCCACCCGUGUCUAUCGUACCUUGUUGCUUCGGCGGGCCCGCCGUUUCGACGGCCGCCGGGGAGGCCUUGCGCCCCCGGGCCCGCGCCCGCCGAAGACCCCAACAUGAACGCUGUUCUGAAAGUAUGCAGUCUGAGUUGAUUAUCGUAAUCAGUUAAAACUUUCAACAACGGAUCUCUUGGUUCCGGCAUCGAUGAAGAACGCAGCGAAAUGCGAUAAGUAAUGUGAAUUGCAGAAUUCAGUGAAUCAUCGAGUCUUUGAACGCACAUUGCGCCCCCUGGUAUUCCGGGGGGCAUGCCUGUCCGAGCGUCAUUGCUGCCCUCAAGCACGGCUUGUGUGUUGGGCCCCCGUCCCCCUCUCCCGGGGGACGGGCCCGAAAGGCAGCGGCGGCACCGCGUCCGGUCCUCGAGCGUAUGGGGCUUUGUCACCUGCUCUGUAGGCCCGGCCGGCGCCAGCCGACACCCAACUUUAUUUUUCUAAGGUUGACCUCGGAUCAGGUAGGGAUACCCGCUGAACUUAAGCAUAUCA